CUGUGAUUCAGUAUCUUCUCCCUCUGCAUGCAGACACUGAACUUUCCUCAUAGAGAUUCAUUGAUUCAAUUAAUCUCUAUGAGGAGAUGUUGAUUGGCCAGGGCUGUGUUUGAAUCAUGCUGGCUCUGCCCCUGAUCUGCCUCUUUGUCAGUCUCAGCCAAUCCUAUGGGGAAGCACUGUGAUUGGAUUAGGCUACCACAU